rnacentral:rRNA from 1 species
UGAGCAAUCUGCCCUUCUCAUCGGAAUAAGCGUUGGAAACGACGUCUAAUGCCGAAUACGACCUCCUUUCGCAUGAUCGGAGGUGGAAAGCUCCGGCGGAGAAGGAUGAGCUCGCGGCCUAUCAGCUUGUUGGUGAGGUAAUAGCUCACCAAGGCGAUGACGGGUAGCCGGCCUGAGAGGGUGACCGGCCACACUGGGACUGAGACACGGCCCAGACCUCUACGGGA